GCACCGCUCCUCCGAUUCGACAACGGCUCUGCUGUCGCCACACCCACAGCAUGGGCCCAGACGCGGAGAGAUCAAGUUGCGCAGCUCCUCCAGCGCCAUCUUCUCGGCACCUUGCCGCCGCGUGCGCCAACGCUGCGGCUUGCG
rnacentral:SRP_RNA from 1 species